rnacentral:lncRNA from 1 species
AGGUUCUCUGUCAACAACACUUCCUUAGGUGGUCAGGAAGUUGUGAGAAAAUGCUGGUCAGGCGCAUAACCCAGUGUCUGGCAUAUAAGUCUACCAGUAAGGCCCUCACAGCGUUGGUUGAUUCAGUAGCUCAAAUACACCACCAGGGACUCAGUUCUUUCCACCCUUCUCUUUUGUCAUUGCAUUGGCUUUUGCACUCAGACUUGUCACUUCCUGGUCACAGUAUGGCUACCACCUCCUGCUUAAAAUAUGGCUGCCACAAUAUGGCUACCACAGAUCCAAGCAUCACAUCUUCACACGUGUCCAAAGAAUGGAAGAAAGUAGGCCCUUUUCUCAGAUUCCUUGCAAGAAUGAGAAGAAGAUAAUUCCUUCUGUCUCAUUGGCCAGAAUUCUGUUGUCUGCCUUUCCGUAGGCCAACCACUGGAUAGAAUAAUAGACUUCCCAUGACUGACUAAUGUUAAUUAAGAUUCAUUAUCUAGGGCUGUGAAGACAUCAGCUCCCAUGAAGCACAAGGUGGCAAAGGUUUGGACAAAACUGGUUGUAAGCUACCAAGGGAGGGAGAA